rnacentral:rRNA from 1 species
GAUCCUGGCUCAGGACGAACGCUGGCGGCGUGCUUAACACAUGCAAGUCGAACGGGAGCGAAUGAAAGCUUGCUUUUAUGAGCUUAGUGGCAAACGGGUGAGUAACACGUAGACAACCUGCCGAUCAGAUGGGGACAACAUUCCGAAAGGAAUGCUAAUACCGAAUGAAGUGUGGGGGAGGCAUCUUCCCGUACAUGAAAGAUGGCCUCUAUUUAUAAGCUAUCACUGAUCGA